rnacentral:rRNA from 1 species
CGAGCGUGACGGCGCGAGCAGGUGCGAAAGCAGGUCAUAGUGAUCCGGUGGUUCUGAAUGGAAGGGCCAUCGCUCAACGGAUAAAAGGUACUCCGGGGAUAACAGGCUGAUACCGCCCAAGAGUUCAUAUCGACGGCGGUGUUUGGCACCUCGAUGUCGGCUCAUCACAUCCUGGGGCUGAAGUAGGUCCCAAGGGUAUGGCUGUUCGCCAUUUAAAGUGGUACGCGAGCUGGGUUUAGAACGUCGUGAGACAGUUCGGUCCCUAUCUGCCGUGGGCGCUGGAGAACUGAGGGGGGCUGCUCCUAGUACGAGAGGACCGGAGUGGACGCAUCACUGGUGUUCGGGUUGUCAUGCCAAUGGCACUGCCCGGUAGCUAAAUGCGGAAGAGAUAAGUGCUGAAAGCAUCUAAGCACGAAACUUGCCCCGAG